AGCAGUUGAAGGAGAUGGUCUUGGCUCUUCUAGAAGAAUCGGAUCUUCACGAUGAUGUUGCUGAAGCCAUUGUCGACAAGAUACAAAAGGUGAUGGCAGGAUCGUCAAAGAGGAGUGGAGAGAAUAUGCUGAUAGAAAUCCAACGUUGUUAAGAAACAUGACUCUUCCGUAUUUAGUGGAUGUAAAUUUAGCAUUUCCAAGCUUUGUCUUGGGCACAGGAUCAGAAGACUCAGAAUUUACAGACUAAUUGAUUUGAUAAGCGCCAGAAUAUAUCUCCCAGUCCCGUGUAAAUGGUUCAUUAGUACAGAAGAAAACAUGAAAGGGAGUCUUGGCGUAACUCGUAAAGUUGCUGCCAUGUGAUCAGGAGGUCACGGGUUCGAGCAGUGGAAACAGCCGCUUGCAGAAAUAUGGCACCUUGCGGCGCUACUUGCACGACGCUUUGCCGUUCCAUUGCCAAAAGCCAUCAGCCGCCACGAGCGACGUUCCUCCCGAUGUUGCCCGCAACAACCGAUGGCAAUCGGCAACUUACUGAGCUUCGUCCCAUGCGCACGACACUUUACGGCGCUACUUGCACGUCGCUUUGCCGUUCCAUUGCCAAAAGCUAUCAGGCCGCCGGGGGGCUGCGUACAAUAGACUCUUGUGGUCCGACCUUCCUCGGAUCUCGCGCAUAGCGGAUUUAGUGCACCAGACUACUCUUUUUAGUAUAGAAGAAAUCAUUUGCUCUGAUGUGUUUGCAUUGCUAUGUAUUAACAUAUCAUUUGUCAAAUCAUAUAUCUAAAAUGGU